rnacentral:rRNA from 1 species
GAUGAACGCUGGCGGCGUGCCUAAUACAUGCAAGUCGAGCGAACAGACGAGGAGCUUGCUCCUCUGACGUUAGCGGCGGACGGGUGAGUAACACGUGGAUAACCUACCUAUAAGACUGGGAUAACUUCGGGAAACCGGAGCUAAUACCGGAUAAUAUAUUGAACCGCAUGGUUCAAUAGUGAAAGACGGUUUUGCUGUCACUUAUAGAUGGAUCCGCGCCGCAUUAGCUAGUUGGUAAGGUAACGGCUUACCAAGGCAACGAUGCGUAGCCGACCUGAGAGGGUGAUCGGCCACACUGGAACUGAGACACGGUCCAGACUCCUACGGGAGGCAGCAGUAGGGAAUCUUCCGCAAUGGGCGAAAGCUUGACGGAGCAACGCCGCGUGAGUGAUGAAGGUCUUCGGAUCGUAAAGCUCUGUUAUUAGGGAAGAACAAAUGUGUAAGUACCUAUGCACGUCUUGACGGUACCUAAUCAGAAAGCCACGGCUAACUACGUG